GAGAGGGUGUGGAAAUUGGGGGUAGAAUGAAAUUGAAUAAUUCAAUGUUCGUACUAUUGAAUUCUAAGCUACUCAAGCAGAAUAUGAGCCACAUUCGGAGCGCCAAACUACACAAUGAGCAGCAAAAGUCACAACUGAACUUGGAUGGCUGGAACUGAGUGUUUCAAGGCAGUUGGUAUCAGGUCAGCAGUUUUUCUUGUGCAUCAGUGAAUUGAACUCAAAU